CCAAUCCUGACACAGGGAGGUAGUGACAAGAAAUAACAAUACAGGGCUAAUGUCUUGUAAUUGGAAUGAUGGUGACCCAAACCCUCACCAGAGUAGCAAUUGGAGAAACAAGUCUGGUGCCAGCAGCCGCGGUAAUUCCAGCUCCGGUAGCGUAUAUUAAACUUGUUGCAGUUAAAAAGCUCGUAGUUGAAUUUUAGCGUGUUCGAGUUUGCCAUUCGUUUGGCUUUUUCGAGUUCGCUUUUGGGUUUUCCCUUUUUACUUUGAGAAAAUUAGAGUGUUUCAAGCAGACUUUUGUCUUGAAUACUUCAGCAUGGAAUAAUAGAGUAGGACUUUGGUUCUAUUUUGUUGGUUAUUGAACCUUAGUAAUGGUUAAUAGGAACGGUUGGGGGCAUUCGUAUUUAACUGUCAGAGGUGAAAUUCUUAGAUUUGUUAAAGACGAACUACUGCGAAAGCAUUUGCCAAGGACGUUUCUUUUCUUCCACUCUACGAAAGUUAGGGGAUCGAAGACGAUCAGAUACUUGUCGUAGUCCUAACCAUAAACCAUGCCGACUAGUGAUUGGAGGUCGUCGUUUUGCUGACCCCUUCAGGAACUUGAGAGAAAUCAAAGUCUUUGGGUUCUGGG
rnacentral:rRNA from 1 species